ensembl:lincRNA
AUGACUGUGACUGUAGAUUGCAGUCAGCUUCCUCAGGGUGCAGACACACUGAAUGCACUGCAAAGUGAAUUCCCAGAUCUACGGAUGGAGCGUGACUUUCUACGGCCCACAUGCACCUUGCAAGGCAGCUAUUCUGAUUUUCAAACUGCAUUUCCUUAUAUGCAGACAUUAUUUGCUCAUCACAUUUCACAAGCCAAAAAUCAGAAUUUUAUUGGGGACAACGGUCAUGGUCAUAAGGUAAGGGAAGACCCUGCAGGUGCAAAGAAGUGGGACGGCUUUACAUCCCAAUCACCGGCCAUUCAUGCAGGAGACUUCAGCUUUAGGCCCAGAGAGGAUUUAGGUCAAGAAAACUAUAGAUUGCAAGAUAACAAUGAAGCUCUCACUGGACGCAGUACUCAGUCAAGAAGAGGUAAAAUCGAGGAGGGAGCAGAGUGCAGGACAGAUGAAGAUGAUUUGGAAGAUCUUUCGAUAAUCAUGGAUGCUGAUGUGUUUGCAUACCUGCAAAACAUCAAAGAGUACAAUCGGAUACUGCAACAUCAUGGAGUACAAGUGGUUCAUGUUACUUCCGAGGGGGUCACCACUGUGUACCUGCAGUCAAGCAAGUCAGAGGUUAAACAGAACAUUAAGCAAGCCCAUAAGGAGCUAAGGCAGCUUUAUCAACAGCAAGAGGCUUUUCUAAGAAAAGACCAGGUAAAAAGGAGUGCCCUUUACAUGGCCGAUGGAUUGAACACAACAUUAAAACAGGUGCAGUUAUUACUGCCCAAUGUUCUCCUCAGCUUUGACCAGGACAACAUUUAUAUAGUUGGAGAGAAAAGUGAGGUAUCUCAGGCCAAACAAAUGCUAUUGAUUGGGGUGGAAAAAGACCUGAUGAGUUUGACAGAAAUUCCACCAUCCUCUUCUAGUUUUCCAUCAGCAUCCCCUGAACCCUUGGAGAGAGAGCAACAGGUUAUGGGUGCCCCUCAAACAUUAGUUCCCCCCAAACUAAUUGGUUCCAGCACUGAACGAAAAGGGGAGAUUGGAAAUACAAAAGAAUACAAACUAGCUGCUCGGUUUAAGAGAGAGGAGAUAGGUGGAGACAUCAGGAGUCUCACUACAAAGAUGGACAUGUUAAAGUUAGCCCAAAGCUCUCAGUCAACAACACCACCCACACGGCCCUUGUUUGGCACCACAGGCGAACUCAGUAUCGAACUGCCCAGGGAAGGAACUGAAGCAUUCAGGAUGACAGAGCCAAGCUGUACAGGGCAGGAUAUCCUGUUUAAAAACCAAGACCCGCUAUCUCUGAAUACAUUUGGUGGAACCACCUUCAGCACAUCCAAGGCCAAACCAAGUACUUCCGCUGGACUCACUUCAACACUGGGAACAGGAGUCAUGGCUUCAGUGAGCACAAAUGUGAAUUCCCUAUCAGCAAGUAAUACAAAAGUGAAGACAGCUGCUCCCUCAUCAACAUCUAAAUCUUCAUUAAGGAGGUCCAAUAGUUUCUCUGGUCAGCCAAGAGAGCAGGUAAAAAAUAACCAGGUUAAAGCUGAGCCAACGAUCAAUGCAAAUUCACAUAAAAGAGCAAGAUCCAAUAGCAUUAGUGGUGGAAGACCUAGUAAAGAUUGUCCAGUGACUGUAGUUGAAGCAGAACUUACUGUGUCUGGUCUAAUGUGGACUUACAUAAAGGAUGCAUAUCGUUCUCAGGUGCAGGCUAUGGAAUGUGACUUGCAAAUGUCUGAGAAACGACCAGGCAAAAGUCAUAUAAGUGUUACUCUAAAGGGAACAGAUUCAGCAAAAGUUGAAGAAAGUCAUCGUGAGCUUCAGAAUCUAGUGGCUAUAGUGGCCAGCGACUUUGGCUUCUAUGAAUUAUGUUUGAAUGAGCUUGGUGUGGAUCAGAAAGAUGAACUCUUUUUGGCCUGCUGCUCAAGUUUAAGGACACAUAUAUCUAAGGUUAGCUCGUACACCACAAAGAGACACCUUGUCUUGAUUGGUCCAAAAUUCCUCUGCUCUCAAGUCAGUGAUAUAUUUAAGGAUGUAUUUUCUGGGCAGAAGUCACAUUCCUCAUUCCUUCUGAAGUUGAAGACCUUGCAAGAGUGUGUAGAACAAGGUGCAUCCAAGGCAUUUUUGAGCAUACGAUCAACAAGGGCCGAUCACUCUAAAUCAGAUCAAAGCUUAAAGGAGUUUUCUUUUCAGGACACAAGUCAGGUGGUUCAGUCUAACGGCAGUCUCAAGAGUGAUGGUCAUUUGACCAAAAAGAAAUCAGACACAUUGGAAAAGUUGGAGCACUCUAUAUCCACGGAGGACAAAUUAAGCAAGGCAAACACAUUAAGCCAACUAGCUAAUGCCAAAGAAGACACACAAAGUGAUAAGCCAAGUUCUUUACCACUUGAAGCAAAGAAAAAACAAGAUACCUCAAAGAUUCUGAAACAGACUAACUUGCUGUCCAGUAUCACUUCAGAGCAAUGCGUGUGUGGAGCGAUUGGUGCAAAUGUGAAGCGCACCUCCUGUGGUGUCAUCCUUUGCUCUGACUGCAAACUGCUGCAUUCACACUGUCGAGUGUGUGGAAAAGAGGAGGUAUACGCUCAGAAGAUGAUACAGGGGCAAAGUAUUGAGUCAAAGAACACAGAGCAAGAUAAUCAGGCUCAAGAGCAGUAUUCAGGACAAGAGGACAUCAAGGAACAUAAGGGCAUCCAAGGCACGAUGACCUGUGUGGAGAUGCCUCUGAGUCUUUCAGGCUAUAAUAAAUACACAAUGGCCAAGAUCAAGUACAGCAUACCUGAUGGCAUACAAGGGGAUAAGGAUCCCCAUCCUGGUUCACCAUUCGAAGGUGGUCAGUUUGUGGCUUAUUUGCCACUCGAUCCAAAAGGAAGAAGUUUAUUGCCCUCCCUGAAAAAGGCAUUUGAUCAAGGGCUAACAUUUGUUAUUUCAACCAAGAAGGCCAAUGGUGGAGAUGCAAAAGUGAGCUGGGGCAAGAUCCCACACAAGACCAGCAUGGAGGGGGGCAGGGGCAGGAAUGGAUAUCCAGACUCUACAUACCUUGUUCUCUUGUCUGAGGCACUGGUGGCUCAUGGAAUUGAAGGAGUCCCCGGCAGUUAGUCAGGAUGAAGCCAAAAUCUGACCUUGCAAAAAGCACAAAAUCAUUAAGACCAAAAGACUACAGUUUAUUGUGUAUUAUUUUUUGAUACAGUUCCAAACUACACAUAUCAAAAUGUAAUCCAUGUAAAUGAAGUUUUAAAUAUACUGACUGAUUACUUAACCUUUGGGUUGCACCUUUUUUGCUAACUAUUUUUUUUAUUCAGUAUUUCUGCUUAACUGUUUUUGUACGGUAUGUAAUCAAUUUAGAAUGUAAAUUAAAUUGUUUUAGGAUCAUUUUUUUAUUUUAGAAUCAGUGUUUUUUUUCUAUAAUCUUUAUUGACAUAUAGAAUGCAACAACAUAACACUCUGUAUAUUCUGAAUCAGCGUACAAGUAUGCUUUUUAAUAAAACAAUAACCUUGCUGUGGGGGUUGUUUUUUGUGCCAUUUUUAAAUUAAAGGUCCCAUGAAAUUAAAAUAGCGUUUCUUUUAGAUGUUAGUAUCAGUGUUGUUAGAUUUUAGGAUAUCUAUAAGGUAGUGUGCUCCAAAACAGUGACAAAAUUUGUGUUUAAAAGAUAUAAAACAGAUAUAACUAUGUUAAGCUUGUAGUUUGUCACUUCCACAUCACCGGUUUUAUUCAUGUCCCCUCAUACUUCAGUUUCUCAUCAAAUCAUAACCAAUCAAAUGCUCUCUAGUAUGACAUGCCCCGGCCCCUUCAAGACACUUCUCAUUUAAUGCAUUUGAGCUCAACAACUCUCACUGGCGAGCGAAAUUGGGAUUAAUUGUUGAAAAAAAUACCACACUACUGGUUGUUUUAUUUUAUUUUUUAAAGGGCUACACUGUCCCACCCUCUCUUCAUGUUUCAGUUGAGAUUAUGUCAAACAUUGAAUAAAAAUACACAUUUCAAAGCACUUCAUGGGACCUUUAAACAUUCUUAGGCCUAGCACAUCUCUAAUCUGCACCUCAACUGAUAUCCCCAUGAAAAGAGGACACAUAUAGCAUAAAUCUAUUUAAAGGGGUGUGUUUAAUGGGUUAGCUUGGCCAAAAGGAAAACGUUAUUAAUUACCCUCAUGUCAAUCCAAAACCCUUGGGACCUUCAUUCAUUUUUUUAACACAAAUUAGGAUGUUUUAGGUGAAAUCUGAGAGCUCCCUCAUCCUCCAUAGACAACAAUGUUCGAAAGUCCAGAAAAAUACCCAAACAUCCUCAAAUCAGACCAUAUGUGAUCAGUGGUUUAAUCAGAAUAUUGUCAAGCCCGUUUUUGUGAGCACAUAAAAUAUAAAUAAACACUUUAUUCAAAAGUUUUUUUUUACUCCUCAGAGUCAGUAUAGGGCGCACAUUUCAUGAAAACGACCAGGCGCAACAGGUUAACCCAUUCGAUAAGUUGUUUAUGCAUGUGGUUUGAUGUAUUCAUUUUCUUUUUCUCAUUUUUUGUUAGGUUUUUCUUUGUUGUUUUAGGGGGGGGUUAUGUUUUCUCUUUUAUGCAUGUAAAAGAACAGUAAGAAGCUGCUAGUUCACUUAAGUGCACAAAACAUGUAGAAAUAAAUCAUAUUUUUUCAUGAUUUAUGUAUUGCAUUUUAUUUGCUUUGAGUGACUUAUGACAUUAUUCUGCUAUGUUGUUGUAAUGUAUUUGUGCACGGGUGACCCCUCAGUCACUUUCAUUAAUGAUGCAGUCCCGUUAAUAUAAGACUGGGUUUUUGUGGUUUAGUUUGGGAGUUCUUUUUACUAUUAUUUUGGGUUAGGGACAUCUUUAACAUUUGAGCACAGAAAACAGGACUGAGGUUUAAAUGAUUUGGUUUGGCUAAGUAUAUUUUUCCCCUCUUUGUAAAAAAAUAAAAUAAUUUAUUUAAUUGCAAGUUAUGUUAACUGUUUGCUUGUGAAAUGCUCAGUUUUUUCACUUACACUUACUUUACGUCAUGUAAAUAGCAAAUGCGCUUAAAGCGUGACACAACUGGCUCUUAAAGUGAAUGGAAGAUGAGACUCAGAUUGGUUUAUUCUCAAAACACACCUAUAACUCACCGCUUAAACUUAACCCUUUUAGACCAUGCGCCACAGCGCAAAGCGGAUUUUUCAGUCCUUAAAUUAGCAAUAGUGGAUUCUGACACGCCCUGAAAGUUUUAGCGCCCUGCGUUUUGCACUGAGCAUGGACCGUUAAAAUAGAGCCCAAUAAGUCAUUGGACCCAGACUAAAAGGAGAAAGUGUUUCCCCAAAAGCAAAAAUUAUGCUGUAGUCCAUCUGCUGUAUUUUUCUUUAGUUUUUCGAUUAUAGCUAGAUUAUGUAAAGAACAAUAAUAGAUCAUGUAAAGAUUACUCAUGUAAAGAUUGAUUAUGUAAAGAUCGAUUAUACAUCAAUUAUGAAAAGAUUAAUUAUGGAUAGAUUAUGU